UACAGGGGGUGCAAACGUUGCUCGGAAUCAUUGGGCGUAAAGCGCACGUAGGCGGUCUGUUAUGUCAGAUGUGAAAGCCCUCGGCUUAACUGAGGAAGUGCAUCCGAAACUGGCAGGCUAGAGUACUAAAGAGGGUCGCGGAAUUCCCGGUGUAGAGGUGAAAUUCGUAGAUAUCGGGAGGAACACCGGUGGCGAAGGCGGCGACCUGGGUAGAUACUGACGCUGAGGUGCGAAAGCGUGGGGAGCAAACAGG
rnacentral:rRNA from 1 species